rnacentral:rRNA from 1 species
GCUCAGGAUGAACGCUAGCUACAGGCUUAACACAUGCAAGUCGAGGGGUAGCAGGGUAGCAAUACCGCUGACGACCGGCGCACGGGUGAGUAACACGUAUCCAACCUUCCCAUUACUCGGGGAUAGCCUUUCGAAAGAAAGAUUAAUACCCGAUAGUACUUUUUCGAGGCAUCUCGUAAAAAGUUAAAGAUUUAUUGGUAAUGGAUGGGGAUGCGUUCCAUUAGAUUGUUGGUGAGGUAACGGCUCACCAAGUCUUCGAUGGAUAGGGGUUCUGAGAGGAAGGUCCCCCACAUUGGUACUGAGACACGGACCAAACUCCUACGGGAGGCAGCAGUGAGGAAUAUUGGUCAAUGGGCGAGAGCCUGAACCAGCCAAGUAGCGU